UGCUAAUCCUGACUAAGCUCACGCAAACACAACUACACAACAUCUCCUGAGUACUAUAGUGAUUUUAUAAGAACUCCCGGUUAGCAAUGGCGAAGCGCCUCGCCGUCGCGCUCCUGCUGGUGCUCCUGCUCGCGUCCAGCGACGCGGGAGAGCUGAAUGGGAAGCACGGUGCUGGUAGUGCCGUCGGCGAGAUGAAGGCUCCGUCGCUCCUAGCCGGCGGGUCACCGGCUCUCGACGGCGGCCUCCCGGGGGCAGUGGACGGCCUCGCGGGGGGCCUCGGGUUGCCAGGGGCACCACCGAUUGUCGGGAGUAAAUAAAAACGGAGGGAGUACCGGCCAGAAGAAAAUCACCGGCGUUUCGCUCAAGCGUCUGUACCAACUACUAUCUUUGUCGUGUGUAUUUCCUUUAACUACCAUCUUUGUCGUGUGUAUUUCCUUUGAGUUACACUACUAUGGUGUGUGUUUCCUUUCAGUCCAGGAAAGUAUGUCUUCCCUACUUCGCGUCUUCCUUGAUGUGCUACAUGUAUCACCAACGGAAUAAAUAAAGGAUUUGUCAUUGUGCAUUUA